rnacentral:rRNA from 1 species
AUUGAACGCUGGCGGCAGGCCUAGCACAUGCAAGUCGGGCGGAUGAAGGGAGCUUGCUCCUGGAUUCAGCGGCGGACGGGUGAGUAAUGCCUAGGAAUCUGCCUGGUAGUGGGGGAUAACGUCCGGAAACGGGCGCUAAUACCGCAUACGUCCUGAGGGAGAAAGUGGGGGAUCUUCGAACCUCACGCUAUCAGAUGAGCCUAGGUCGGAUUAGCUAGUUGGUGGGGUAAAGGCCUACCAAGGCGACGAUCCGUAACUGGUCUGAGAGGAUGAUCAGUCACACUGGAACUGAGACACGGUCCAGACUCCUACGGGAGGCAGCAGUGGGGAAUAUUGGACAAUGGGCGAAAGCCUGAUCCAGCCAUGCCGCGUGUGUGAAGAAGGUCUUCGGAUUGUAAAGCACUUUAAGUUGGGAGGAAGGGCAGUAAGUUAAUACCUUGCUGUUUUGACGUUACCAACAGAAUAAGCACCGGCUAACUUCGUG